rnacentral:tRNA from 1 species
GUUGUUUGGCUAAGUGGUUAAGGCGUGCGCCUACUACCCGCAACAAGAGUUCAAAUCUCUCAGGCUACA